UACGGAAGGCAGCAGUGGGGAAUAUUGCACAAUGGGCGCAAGCCUGAUGCAGCCAUGCCGCGUGUAUGAAGAAGGCCUUCGGGUUGUAAAGUACUUUCAGUCGUGAGGAAGGUGUUAAGGUUAAUAACCUUAGCAAUUGACGUUAGCGACAGAAGAAGCACCGGCUAACUCCGUGCCAGCAGCCGCGGUAAUACGGAGGGUGCGAGCGUUAAUCGGAAUUACUGGGCGUAAAGGGCACGCAGGCGGUUAAUUAAGUUGGAUGUGAAAUCCCCGGGCUUAACCUGGGAAUGGCAUUCAAGACUGGUUAGCUAGAGUCUUGUAGAGGGGGUAGAAUUCCAUGUGUAGCGGUGAAAUGCGUAGAGAUGUGGAGGAAUACCGGUGGCGAAGGCGGCCCCUGGACAAAGACUGAUGCUCAUGUGCGAAAGCGUGGGGAGCAAACAGGAUUAGAUACC
rnacentral:rRNA from 1 species